rnacentral:rRNA from 1 species
GGGGAAUCUUGCACAAUGGAGGAAACUCUGAUGCAGCGACGCCGCGUGAGCGAUGAAGCCCUUCGGGGUGUAAAGCUCUUUCGACGGGAACGAUAAUGACGGUACCCGGAGAAGAAGCUGCGGCUAACUACGUGCCAGCAGCCGCGGUAAUACGUAGGCAGCAAACGUUGUUCGGAAUUACUGGGCGUAAAGAGUGUGUAGGCGGUUUUGCAAGUUUGGUGUGAAAUCUCCCGGCUUAACUGGGAGGGUGCGCCGAAAACUGCAAGGCUCGAGUACUGGAGAGGAAAGCGGAAUUCCUGGUGUAGCGGUGAAAUGCGUAGAUAUCAGGAGGAACACCGGUGGUGUAGACGGCUUUCUGGACAGUCACUGACGCUGAGACACGAAAGCGUGGGGAGCAAACA